ACUCAACCCUUCCCUGAGAACACAGACACAUGUGACGGCAAAUCUCUUUCCAGAGAAUUGGAAACAGGUUGGUUCACCUUUGGGUCUGCUGUUGAGUCAACUGCCAGCUCUGAAGGCCAAGACAGGAAGUCCCAAAAGGGCAUAUUAUUCCAGGCCAGUGGAUUUUGAGAACACCAUGUUUGCAUCCAGCCCACCAGCAUGGACUUCCAAAGGACAGGCCAUGAAUCAAAGUCAUGGCUCUUCUUCAUUCAAGGAAUUGCUUGGGAUGAAGACAACUCUUUCAGAUGAGGGUACUCGAGUCUGGGGCUUGGCAGCCCCAGGUGAUGGAGAGAAAGAAGCCAGAGUUUUCUGGACAGACGAGGACAUAUAUGUGAAGGCAGAGGUGUGAGCACAGAAUGACAUGAACAAAUACACAGAGAGAGCAAACAGACGGAGAUCUCCACGUGUGCACAGACAUGU